UCCCCCCAGAGUUUUAUCUUCACGACUGUGGUGUACUUCGGGCCCCUGACCUGCUCCAUCAUCACCACCACCCGCAAGUUCUUCACCAUCCUGGCGUCCGUCAUCCUGUUUGCCAACCCCAUCAGCUCCAUGCAGUGGGUGGGGACAAUCCUGGUGUUCCUGGGGCUUGGCCUCGAUGCCAAAUUCGGGAAGGGAGUGAAGAAAACGUCGCAUUGAGGAGGUGUUCAGUCGGUUGAUCCCCGCGGAUGGAAUGAACUUUUAAUUUAUUGUCUUGUACCUCAAAAUCUGUUCAACUGGACUCAGGAGAGGGAACCAGAAGGAAACUGUGUGGAAUCUUU